GUGUCAGCAGCCGCGGUAAGACGUAAGGGGCAAGCGUUGUCCGGAAUUACUGGGCGUAAAGAGCGCGUAGGUGGCCACGCAAGCGGCAGGUGAAAUCCCGAGGCUCAACUUCGGAACUGCUUGCCGAACUGCUUGGCUAGAGCGCGGGAGAGGGCAGUGGAAUUCCUGGUGUAGCGGUGGAAUGCGUCAAUAUCAGGAAGAACACCCGUGGCGAAGGCUGCUGCCUGGAACGUUGCUGACACUGAGGCGCGAAAGCUAGGGGAGCGAACGGGAUUAGAUACCCCGGUAGUCCUAGCCGUAAACGAUGGGCACUAGGUGUUGCAGGCUUCGACCCCUGCAGUGCUGUUAAGCUAACGCGUUAAGUGCCCCGCCUGGGGAGUACGGCCGCAAGGUUGAAACUCAAAUGAAUUGACGGGG
rnacentral:rRNA from 1 species